UAUGGAUUCGGAUAUGGAUAUAAAAAAUAAAAACCCGACGGAUAUGGAUUCAGAUAUGGAUUUUGAUUGUACCCGACCCGAACCUGAACCCGACCCGAACCUGAAUUUAUUUUGUAUUAUAUAAUAUAUAUAUAUAUAUAUAAAUUUGAUGUUAUAUUUGAAUUUGUAUUUUAAAAUUUUAGAUUUAAUAUAAUAUAUUUUGAAAUAUUGAAAAAAGAAAUAAUUGUUUCGGGUUCAAAUUUUCGAGUUCAGGUUCGGGUUCAGGUUUCAGAUUUUUGGUCGGGUUCGGGUUUGGAUAUGGAUUUUUAAAAUCCGUCGGGUUCGGGUUUUCAUAAAAU
rnacentral:lncRNA from 1 species